UACGUAGGGACCGAGCGUUGUCCGGAAUCAUUGGGCGUAAAGAGCGUGUAGGCGGCUUGUUAAGUCUUGCGUGAAAUCUCGGGGCUCAACCCCGAGCGGUCGUGAGAAACUGGCAGGCUAGAGUGCGGGAGAGGAGAGUGGAAUUCCUGGUGUAGCGGUGAAAUGCGUAGAGAUUAGGAAGAACACCAGUGGCGAAGGCGACUUACUGGACUGUAACUGACACUGAGGCAUGAAAGCGUGGGGAGCAAACAGG
rnacentral:rRNA from 1 species